rnacentral:rRNA from 1 species
UACGAAGGGGGCUAGCGUUGCUCGGAAUCACUGGGCGUAAAGCGCACGUAGGCGGAUUGUUAAGUCAGGGGUGAAAUCCUGGAGCUCAACUCCAGAACUGCCUUUGAUACUGGCGAUCUUGAGUCCGGGAGAGGUGAGUGGAACUGCGAGUGUAGAGGUGAAAUUCGUAGAUAUUCGCAAGAACACCAGUGGCGAAGGCGGCUCACUGGCCCGGUACUGACGCUGAGGCGCGAAAGCAAGGGGAUCAAACAGG